GAGGGUAUAGCUCAGUGGUAGAGUGGGUGCUUAACAAGCACAAACUCCUGGAUUCAAUCUCCAAUACCCGCA
rnacentral:tRNA from 1 species